rnacentral:ncRNA from 1 species
AGUUGCAUACGACGCACGCCUGGCAACCUGGUUAAAUGUCAAUGACUUUAGGCCUCAAAGUAUUAACGCGGGUAAACGCGCGCUCGCUAGUGAGCGGAUGCAUAAACUCUUAAUGACUGUGCAGGGAAAGGGUGUUAAGCCAUUUAUCACUGAUAAAAUAGGUAAUGAAUGUUUAUUAGGUAAACUAACGACCGGGCAUUCAUUUCUUCGUAUCAUACAGCUCCGUACAGAUACAGUCCCAACGAAAGCUAGGCUGUUAAGAGGGAGAAAUGAAGAUGAAGAUGCGCGUGUGCUGUGCCGCCACUGCGGGCGUAACACAGGAAAAAAGGAGACCUCUUGUCAUAUUAGUCAGUUAUGUACAGUCACACAAAGGCUCCGCAUAGCAAGGCAUAAUAAUAUCUUGUCCUCAAUUAAACAGUUGGCGCAGGAGCAGGGCUUUAAUGUAGAAACGGAACCCAUCUUCCAUUAUAACAACGCUCUUCUUAAACCAGAUCUAUUGCUUCUAAAGGGCAGCAUGGCAGCGUUAAUUGACAUUGCGAUACCGUGGGAAAAGCAAGGAAGCUUUAGAGCGACGAGGCAAAGGAAAAUAAGCAAAUACGAGCCUCUCUCCGAUCAAAUCAAGGAAGCACACCAAAGCGAGACCGUAUUAGUAGAGGCACUGAUCAUAGGUGCGCGAGGCAAGUGGGACAGGGAAAAUAAUAAGGUCCUUCAGAGUCUCGACCUCCGCAUGACAAGCAAUCAAAAACGUAAUCUAUGCACACAAACUGUUAAGGCCACAGGAAAAAUUAUAGAUCACUUUUUCGUCACGUCGUGCUAAACCCUAGCCCACACCCCCGACCCACCGUAUACGUAUGAGGUCUCAUGGUUUUCUCUGGCUAGCGAAUUUUUUUCCCGCGAGCAACAACACCGCGACCGGGUUUUUUAUAGCAACCAGAGUUUUUAGUCCAGAGACCAAAGAAUUUCACAAGUACCACGUCCUAACCUAUUAUUUUGCUCCCAUAUGUACGUUUAUUGGUUGCGUUAUCACCGCACCCAGGCCAAUGGCGCAAGUGUCGGGAGCAACCCACUGCGGCAUCUACCCGGUCUUCGAGUUGUUGAACGAUGUCGUCGAACAGUAAACUGCUUGGUAGCCAAAUGCCUCGUCAUCUAAUUAGUGACGCGCAUGAAUGGAUCAACAAGAUUCCUACUGUCCCUAUCUACUGUCUAGCGAAACCACAGCCAAGGGAACGGGCUUGGCAAAAUCAGCGGGGAAAGAAGACCCUGUUGAGCUUGACUCUAGUCUGACUCUGUGAAGAGACAUUGAAGGUGUAGCACAGGUGGGAGGCUCGCAAGGGCCGGCAGUGAAAUACCACUACUUUGAUCGUUUCUUACUUAUUCGGUCAAGCGGAAGGACGGUCGAUGCGAUGCCGUCUGACGACACGCGUCGACUGCCGUCUUUGGU